rnacentral:rRNA from 1 species
CAAUAGCGUAUAUUAAAGUUGUUGCAGUUAAAAAGCUCGUAGUUGGAUUUGUGGCGUACGGUGUGUUCCGGGCACUUGUUGUCUGAGUAACCUGCUGUUGCCAUCCUUGGGUGGAACCUGUGUGGCAUUAGGUUGUCGUGCAGGGGAUGCCCAUCAUUUACUGUGAAAAAAUUAGAGUGUUCAAAGCAGGCUUAUGCCGUUGAAUAUAUUAGCAUGGAAUAAUGAGAUAGGACUUUUUCGCUAUUUUGUUGGUUUGCGCAAGAAGGUAAUGAUUAAUAGGGACAGUUGGGGGUAUUCGUAUUCCAUUGUCAGAGGUGAAAUUCUUGGAUUUUUGGAAGACGAACUACUGCGAAAGCAUUUACCAAGGAUGUUUUCAUUAA